rnacentral:misc_RNA from 1 species
AUCGAACUCCAUCGCCUUCUUCAACCCCUUGCAUCCAGACUUCUCGCACUUGCGAGAUCUGGGCCCGCAGCAGAACUCAACAAAAAGGAUAGAAAGGAGGAACAGCGCCAAAAAGCCGCAAAUGUAGGGUACGGGAGGGAUAUGGACGGAAAGAUGGGGGGAAGAGUGAGAGAGAAUAAUGGAAAGGGAGCGAAAGAUAUAGGAAAAGUAAGAAGUUAAGAGGAAA